rnacentral:rRNA from 1 species
CGGGACACGUGGUAUCCUGUCUGAAUAUGGGGGGACCAUCCUCCAAGGCUAAAUACUCCUGACUGACCGAUAGUGAACCAGUACCGUGAGGGAAAGGCGAAAAGAACCCCGGCGAGGGGAGUGAAAAAGAACCUGAAACCGUGUACGUACAAGCAGUGGGAGCACGCUUAGGCGUGUGACUGCGUACCUUUUGUAUAAUGGGUCAGCGACUUAUAUUCUGUAGCAAGGUUAACCGAAUAGGGGAGCCGAAGGGAAACCGAGUCUUAACUGGGCGUUAAGUUGCAGGGUAUAGACCCGAAACCCGGUGAUCUAGCCAUGGGCAGGUUGAAGGUUGGGUAACACUAACUGGAGGACCGAACCGACUAAUGUUGAAAAAUUAGCGGAUGACUUGUGGCUGGGGGUGAAAGGCCAAUCAAACCGGGAGAUAGCUGGUUCUCCCCGAAAGCUAUUUAGGUAGCGCCUCGUGAAUUCAUCUCCGGGGGUAGAGCACUGUUUCGGCAAGGGGGGCAUCCCGACUUACCAACCCGAUGCAAACUGCGAAUACCGGAGAAUGUUAUCACGGGAGACACACGGCGGGUGCUAACGUCCGUCGUGAAGAGGGAAACAACCCAGACCGCCAGCUAAGGUCCCAAAGUCAUGGUUAAGUGGGAAACGAUGUGGGAAGGCCCAGACAGCCAGGAUGUUGGCUUAGAAGCAGCCAUCAUUUAAAGAAAGCGUAAUAGCUCACUGGUCGAGUCGGCCUGCGCGGAAGAUGUAACGGGGCUAAACCAUGCACCGAAGCUGCGGCAGCGACGCUGAUGCGUUGUUGGGUAGGGGAGCGUUCUGUAAGCCUG